rnacentral:rRNA from 1 species
UACGUAGGAGGCGAGCGUUGUCCGGAUUUAUUGGGCGUAAAGCGCGCGUAGGCGGCGCGGUAUGUCGUGCGUGAAAUCUCCCGGCUUAACUGGGAGGGGCCGUGCGAAACUGCCGGGCUUGAGGUCGGAAGGGGAAAGUGGAAUUCCGGGUGUAGUGGUGGAAUACGUAGAUAUCCGGAGGAACACCAGCGGCGAAGGCGGCUUUCUGGUCCGAUACUGACGCUGAGGUGCGAAAGCGUGGGGAGCGAGUCCGG